rnacentral:rRNA from 1 species
AUUGAACGCUGGCGGCAUGCUUUACACAUGCAAGUCGAACGACAGCGCGGGCUUCUUCCUGGCGUCGAGUUGCCGACGGGUGAGUAAUUCAUCGGUACGUGCCCUGCCUUUGGGGCUGGCCUGGCUUAAGGCGGAUUAAUACCGCAUACGAUCUGAGAGUGAAAGCGGGGGUCCGAAAGGCCUCGCGCUUUUGGAUCGCCCGAAGGCGUAUUAGCUAGUUGGUGUGGUAAAGGCUUACCAAGGCGACGUUCCGUAGCCGGUCUGAGAGGCCGACCUGCCACACUGGAACUGAGACACGGCCCAGACUCCUACGGGAGGCAGCAGUGGGGAAUUUUGCACAAAGGGGGCAAGCCUGACCCAGCCAUGCCGCGUGAGUGAAGAAGGCCUUCGGAUUGUAAAACGCUUUUGUUCGGGAAGAAAAACUCUGGGCGAAUCCAUCGAGGGGAUGACGGUACCGGAAGAGUAAGCAACGGCUAACUACGUG